rnacentral:rRNA from 1 species
GUGGGGAAUUUUGGACAAUGGGCGAAAGCCUGAUCCAGCAAUGUCGCGUGUGUGAAGAAGGCCUUCGGGUUGUAAACCGCUUUUGUCAGGGAAGAAAUCCUUUGGGUUAAUACCUCGGAGGGAUGACGGUACCUGAAGAAUAAGCACCGGCUAACUACGUGCCAGCAGCCGCGGUAAUACGUAGGGUGCGAGCGUUAAUCGGAAUUACUGGGCGUAAAGCGUGCGCAGGCGGUUUUGUAAGAUCGAUGUGAAAUCCCCGGGCUCAACCUGGGAACGGCCGUGGUGACUGCAAGGCUGGAGUGCGGCAGAGGGGGAGGGACUUCCGCGUGUAGCAGUGAAAUGCGUAGAUAUGCGGAGGAACACCGAUGGCGAAGGCAAGCCCCUGGGCCUGCACUGACGCUCAUGCACGAAAGCGUGGGGAGCAAACAGGAUUAGAUACCCCGGUAGUCC